rnacentral:rRNA from 1 species
UACGAAGGGGGCUAGCGUUGUUCGGAAUUACUGGGCGUGAAGCGCGCGCAGGCGGUUUUUCAAGUCAGUGGUGAAAGCCCGGAGCUCAACUCCGGAAAUGCCAUUGAAACUGCAAAACUUGAGGACGAGAGAGGUGAGUGGAAUUCCCAGUGUAGAGGUGAAAUUCGUAGAUAUUGGGAAGAACACCGGUGGCGAAGGCGGCUCACUGGCUCGUUUCUGACGCUCAGGCGCGAUAGCGUGGGGAUCAAACAGG